UUUUUCAUCUUGAAAUGUUGAAGGGCUCCAAUGCCAGUAGCAAAAAGACUGAGGAAGACUGCAAACAUUUCUUCACUGUCCAAGUCAUAGUUUGUCUGGCACUGGUGCCAAGGAGAACACUUUUCUCCCAUGGAGAGGCUACUGAGACAUGGAUAUGGAACUCAAAGCCUGGCCUGAAAAAAAUCACUCCUCUCAUCAUUGUGAAUUUGGAAGAUUAAAGUAUGUACAUCAUACCAUUGACACCUAUUCAGGAUUUCAGUGGGCAACUCCUAUGAGUUCUGAAAAGGCUG